AAAACACAACAAGCACAUCCACCGAUUAUGUUUAUGCUCAUCACCACAUCAACAUACCGGACCAACAUUAACCAUGCCAGCAUCAAACUAAUUUCCCGAGGGGGAAAUCAAGUUGAGCAGCCACCCUGGCGACGCCCCGGUACUCACUCUCCAAUCUCUUAUCGGCCAACGUCAACCAGAGCCGUGAGUGAUAAGACGAGGCGCGAUCGGUCAACCAAUAUAGCCGAUCGUCGCCCGCAGAUCGUCAUCAGUCACUGGUUUAGCGUAAAGGAGACCGCGUCGAUCGUCAACCCGUCAACUUUUCCGCCGGACGAUCGACUUCAGGAAGAAGUUUUGUUCCAGGAUUUUUGUGGUGAAAACCGUCUCACCAGUGAGGAAGAACAAGGCGUGGAAUAAUAACCGCACUGGAGUGCGAGGUGCCGCGACACCGUAAAUUGGUCGUGGUGGAGAGUGAGGUGGCGUCUACGAUCAGCAUGGAUAGCAUGGCCAUGCUGGAGUAGUAAGGAGUACUUGAGAUCGGCCUUCAUUUCCUGUUUCGCAAGCUAAAUUCCAUCAUGGCUGGAGCCGUGGUGUGGAGCGGUGCGCUGCUGUGCAUUCCUGCCGACUGGACGGCGGGGCAAAUGCACCGGAUGGCCGGCGUUCUUGCCGGUGACCAAGCUGGGUUCUGCCCGGGCAGCAACGUUGUUCCGGAUCGUCGAGGGAUACACGGGGGUCACACACACACACACAGGUUUACACCCGCAACUCUAGUUUUAAGGACGCCAACUAGGUUUAGUUCGCCAAUAUAGAUGUAAGUACGCUAAAA
rnacentral:misc_RNA from 1 species